rnacentral:rRNA from 1 species
UGGGGAAUCUUGCGCAAUGGGGGAAACCCUGACGCAGCCAUGCCGCGUGAAUGAUGAAGGUCUUAGGAUUGUAAAAUUCUUUCAGCGGGGACGAUAAUGACGGUACCCGCAGAAGAAGCCCCGACUAACUUCGUGCCAGCAGCCGCGGUAAUACGAAGGGGGCUAGCGUUGCUCGGAUUUACUGGGCGUAAAGGGCGCGUAGGCGGAUGACCAAGUUGGGGGUGAAAGCCCGGGGCUCAACCUCGGAACUGCCCUCAAAACUGGUUGUCUUGAGUAUGGGAGAGGUGUGUGGAACUCCGAGUGUAGAGGUGAAAUUCGUAGAUAUUCGGAAGAACACCAGUGGCGAAGGCGACACACUGGCCCAUUACUGACGCUGAGGCGCGAAAGCGUGGGGAGCAAACAG